GAACUUAAGCAUAUCAAUAAGCGGAGGAAAAGAAACUAACAAGGAUUCCCUUAGUAACUGCGAGUGAAGCGGGAAGAGCUCAAAUUUAAAAUCUGGCAGCUGAUGGGCUUGUCCGAGUUGUAAUCUAGAGAAGUGUCUUCCGCGCUGGGACCGUGUACAAGUCUCUUGGAAUGGAGCAUCAUAGAGGGUGAGAAUCCCGUCUCUGACACGGAAUUUACCGGUGCUUUUGUGAUGCGCUCUCGAAGAGUCGAGUUGUUUGGGAAUGCAGCUCAAAAUGGGUGGUAAAUUCCAUCUAAAGCUAAAUACAGGCGAGAGACCGAUAGCGAACAAGUACCGUGAGGGAAAGAUGAAAAGGACUUUGAAAAGAGAGUUAAACAUUACGUGAAAUUGUUGAAAGGGAAACGAUUCAAGUCAGUCGCAUUAGCCAGUAAUCAACCCUCGCAAUUAACCUUGCUGGGCUUACUUUCUGGUUGAUGGGUCAGCAUCAAUUUUGACCGUCAGAGAAAGGCUUUGCGGGGAAUGUGACAUCUUCGGAUGUGUUAUAGCCCCAACUCGCAUGUGAUGGUCGGGAUUGAGGAACUCAGCACGCCUUUACAGGUCAGGGCCGCCAGAAUGGCCCAUGUAAACGUAGCUUAGGAUGCUGGCAUAAUGGCUUGAACCGACCCGUCUUGAAACACGGACCAAGGAGUCUAACAUGCCUGCGAGUGUUUGGGUGGAAAACCCGAGCGCGAAGUGAAAGUGAACUUGGUUGAGAUCCCUGUCGUGGGGAGCACCGACGCCCGGACCAGACCUUCUGUGACGGAUCUGCGGUAGAGCAUGCAUGUUGGGACCCGAAA
rnacentral:rRNA from 1 species